rnacentral:tRNA from 1 species
UGGUUCAGUGGUAGAAUUCUUGCCUUCCAUGCAGGAGAUCUGGGUUCAACUCCCAG